rfam:Podospora anserina genomic DNA, chromosome 5.
AACCUCGUAGUGUAGUGUGUAGCACGUCGACCACUACGUCGAGGGCGCAGGUUCGAUUCCUGUCGAGGUUC